GAAGGCCAUGACAGUUUAUUUGGGAAAACUGUACCUGUCUGAUAAUGUUGUAUACAUAUCACAGCUUAAUAUCCCCAUGGACAUGUACAUUUCAUUUAUACUAACUUCCUAGAAUACUUCAACUGGACCAAGAUCGAUUUCUGAUCAGGUCUUAAUACCAUCACACAUAAUUACUUUGAUUGUAGUUUGAUCUAAUUACUGCAAAAUCAUUUAACAAAACAGUAUCUGACUUAAGCAACCAUAAGCCAUGUAACAGCUCAAACCUGGCUCAUUGUUGGCUCAGGUAGUUAAACGACUCAGGAAGUUGGAGCAGAGGUGGGAAGAGCUGUUACAGGAGGUGGUGAUUGCUGAAUGCAGAAUGAAAUACCAUGAAGAAAAUAAAGAGCAAGUCAGCCCUAUGAUUAUGGUCCUUAUGUUACAGUCAACAUUGAUGCUUGCAGCACUCCUUCAGUAGCCUGCAAAUGGAUUAUUUCCUCACUGAUUGUCCUUUCUUUUACAAACAGUGUGAUUUUUCCCCUUCAUCAUUCUGUACUUGACUAUUAGGAGCACUGCCAAACACAAGUAGUCAAUAUAGCAAUCUGCCAAACACUCUGGGGUGAAUCUUAAAACCAAAACCACAUUCAUGUAUAGGGGCUGCUCCAAAAGUAAUGCCUCCUGUUUUAUUGUGGUAGCCCACGACAUCAGAGGUGGGUGUUGGUGGUAUGGCAGUAGCCAGCAUUCCCACCAAUAUUCUGUUACAUGCUGUUGCCAUGAAAAGGAUGGCAGCACAGGGCAGUCUGUCAGAAAGGCGUCUGAUGUGGAAGUGUGGAUGAAGCAAAGGUGUCCCACUGAAUUCCUUCAAGCAGAAAAAAUGGCACCCUGACAUUCAUCAAUGAUUGCAGAAUGUUUAUAGAGCCUAUACAGUGGAUGUGAGCAUACAGAGGCAGUGGGUGAUGCAUUUCAGCAGUGGCAACAGUGACAUUUGGUCAUCUCUGUUUGUGCCAGUGUAUAUAAAUGCAGCAUGAAGGCUCUCAUUUCUGGCUACUGAAAAUGCAUGGCAAGCAGUGGUGACCGUGUUGAAAUAUAGUGUUCUAGCUUGGAAAUUCCUCUAUCAAAUAGUGUUACUGUGCUCUCUGUAUCUGUUGUAGUUUCCAAGGAAUAGGAGGUAUUACUUUCAGAGCAACCAACAUAUUUAUUCAUAUGAAAAAUAGGUGUGGGGUUAAAGCUACAGAACCCAACAUGAUCAAGUGAAAUAAGUGGACAUUUCUGCUGCAUAGGUGAGGAAUGAUUUGUAUGUUAAGGUAACUAUUGCUUAACUUCCUUCUCCAGGUCUUUGUUUGUUUAUUCUAUCUGUG
rnacentral:lncRNA from 1 species